GCAGCCCGAGUGGGAGAGCGCUCGGCAAAGUCGGUUGGACGCCCCCAGGGUCCAGCCAUCACCUGCAAGGUGAGAUGGUGAAGAAGGCUAGGACAUUCUCCCCAGGUUUUAUUGGUAGUACACAGGAAAGCUGAUGAAUUAGGUAUCAACACCAUAUGUGUAUCAUAGAACAAGUUUGGUA